UAAGUGAGUGGUGGAUGUUGGGUUGGUGGGGUGUGUGUAGUUGGGGUUGUUGGGUGGCGAUGGUGUCCGCGAGGGCGCUGUCAGCUAAACUGCGACUCCCGACUCCAGACUCUCUGCACCCACAUCCAAAUGCGCCGGAUCCCGAGAGGGAGAAGGACACAUGAGCGUGAAGAGUGACUUAGACAACCAGCAAUAAAUA
rnacentral:misc_RNA from 1 species